rnacentral:rRNA from 1 species
UGCCAGACUCCUACGGGAGGCAGCAGUGGGGAAUAUUGCACAAUGGGGGAAACCCUGAUGCAGCGACGCCGCGUGAGCGAUGAAGUAUUUCGGUAUGUAAAGCUCCAUCAGCAGGGAAGAAGAUGACGGUACCUGACUAAGAAGCCCCGGCUAACUACGUGCCAGCAGCCGCGGUAAUACGUAGGGGGCAAGCGUUAUCCGGAUUUACUGGGUGUAAAGGGAGCGUAGACGGCGAUGCAAGCCAGAUGUGAAAGCCCGGGGCUCAACCCCGGGACUGCAUUUGGAACUGUGUGGCUGGAGUGUCGGAGAGGCAGGCGGAAUUCCUAGUGUAGCGGUGAAAUGCGUAGAUAUUAGGAGGAACACCAGUGGCGAAGGCGGCCUGCUGGACGAUGACUGACGUUGAGGCUCGAAAGCGUGGGGAGCAAACAGGAUUAGAUACCCCAGUA